AUCAAGAUGGACAAAAUAUGUGUUGCUAAAGGCAUGCAAAGUCUUUGGGAUUAAUGCUGUUGGGUUCGAAUAUGAGAUCAUUGGCGUGGCUCUUCGAAUGGAACAGAGGAGACAAGAACAAAUUCAAAAACAAGAACUUGCAAUCAAGGCCAGUAAAAUGGGGAAGAAAAAACAAACUUUAGAAUUGGAAAGAUUGAAGUGGGGGAUGAAUUCAGAUGGUAAGAAGUUGGAGGACAGAGACAUGACUUGCAAAGUAUUUUCUGGAUGAAGAUUAAAAUCCUUAGUUGGAAUGUGC
rnacentral:lncRNA from 1 species